UUUUCUUCAAGAUGUGGCCUAAACCAUUCAAUGUCUCUAAAGGGCAGGCAUGAAAGGGCUCCUACCCCACUGUCAGUGCUGACUGGGUACCCAGAGGGCGCUCAACUGCAUCUGGGAAAUUUGUUCAACCUCUGCCCCAGGGAAGCUAACCGUCCCGUCUCAGAACUGCCACUCUCAGAUGGCCUCACUGGAAGGUAACAGCAGUUUCUUCUCUUUCUGGAGUAUCUGGGAAAGCUCAGCGAUCCAGGGCCAACUGUCACCAAAGAUGCUUCCUUGGGCAUCCGUGUCUGCCCAGUUAUAGACAUCUGUCUCAUCUCUGCAAGCCGGAGUGAACGUCCAUCACUGUCAUAUGCCUUGACUCCAGCGAGUCUCCAGCUCUACCCAGACCUAGCAACAGCUUAGACCAUCAUCUACCUGGCCCAUAAAAAUAAAUUAAAGGUAAAUGUGUGCAGCCAGCAAUUCCACCUUUCCAUUCCCCUUGCAAGCACUCACUCAGAGGCCCGUAAAAGGGUUGUUUGUCACCUCUCUAUUUGCGGCGGCAGCAAAAUAGAGCCCGCUUGCCU
rnacentral:lncRNA from 1 species